rnacentral:lncRNA from 1 species
GUCAAAUUUCAACAACAACUCGAGCUUAAAUAUAUCAUCUGCAAACAACCCAUGAAUCGUUUAAAUACAAAAAGAAAACCAAAGAAAGAGAUCCAGAAAAUCAAGAGUGAUACCUACACUUUGGGAGAACAUGAUUCAAAUUUGGUGAAUGAAACUUUUACCUCCUGAUGCGAGAAUGUGAAAAACAAAAUAAAAAGAGGAUUAGAAAAUUAGGGAUCCUAAAGUAAAUUGAAGAAAAUUAGGGAUUUCAAAAAUGAACAUACCUUAGAGGGAGGAGCUCAGUUUCAAUAUACAUGGAUAUUUUGGAGUUCAUCAAAUGAAGAAGUGUGUGUCUAUGGUGUUUAGAGAGAGAGAGAGAUGAGAGUUUGAAAUUUGAAAGUUGAGAAUUUGUUUUCAAUAUCCAUGGGUUGAGGUUUUGUUUGACUUGGGUUGAAAGUGACGGGACACUGUUCCUUUGCUUGCUGUCUGACCAGGUUUUGUCCAUAUCCAAUUUAAGUUUGUUUGUUCACCAAAAUAGGAUCCA